GCCUGCCAGUCAUGCCUUGAUCAGCUGUAGUAAGAUCAAAGAGAAGCAGCAAAAAGAGUUUAUUGAUGUUCUGCUCAUGAAAUGUCCCUGACAUGUGUUACAGUGUUACUAAAAGAGGGACCUUGGUAUGCGGACCAGUUUACUCUAUACUAACACUUACAAAAGUUAUUUACUGAUUAAGUAGUACAUGACACAUAGAGAUUAGCACCAAUAAAAGUAAAAUCAUUUGUGUUAAAUAUUUUUAAGCAGUUGUGUCUAGCAGGAAUUGUGGAAAAUAUUCUUAUAGCAUGCAUUGACCACUGCUCUACAUAUACAGUCUAUGGAUUUAAUGUUUAUCAUAAGUUCUGUUAGCGUUGCACAGUUGACCAUGUCAUACAGCAUAUCCCCAAAGUGGAUUUUUUGUAUGGGACCUCUGAAUACUUUAACCGCUCCUUAACCGUUCUCCCUGAUCCCAAAUGGUGAUGCUGACAUUUCCAACACAGUGCGCUGAGCCAACAGAAGCAGUAAAAACAAAGGACAGAGUUCAGUCGUAACACAAAGUGCAUCUGUCUCCCACGCAUAUGUCUGCUGACAGCAUGUUAUAGUGUUCCAGCAAAUCAGCAUUUCUACAGAUUCUUUGAGCAUGCCUGCCCAUGGUUGGUGCCUGCAGAGGACAUUAAAUUAACAACCUCAUUUUGAAACAAUAACAAUAAGAAAGAGCAGCUGUUGUCCAGCAUGGCUGCAGUCCCCUCACCAAGCUGCCUGCUUGCGAGGAAUCAGUUUUACAGAAACCGACUGAAUUCCUCUUCCAGCCUUUCAUCUGGAAUCUUCACACUGUCAAAAGAUAGUGAAGGGAACCUCCCUCUAACCACUAAAUCCAUACAUCAAGGUUCUCCAACAGCUGUGGAGAAAAGCUGGUUGAGCAGUGUGUUUUUUGGAAGUUUGGGACAGAACUCCAAUACUGGCAAGGUUUCUUCAGAAAAAUAGGAUAAAACAUUAUCCCAACAGAAAGCACCAGCAAACCCGGACUCACUCUGAUGGAGCCAAAAAAAAAGUAACUUUGUAGGGUCUGUGCUAAUGAAGGACGAGGAAACCGGUACGUGUUUUAAUGUUACUGAAUUACAAUGGCUUGAAAACCAGAGGAACUACAUGAUGCUCAAGACCGACGCUCCAAAAGGCGAAAUGUGUUUUUUUCCCCCAUUAGAAAACCAGGCAGCAGGCCAAACUUGGAACAUUAAGAGGGGAAAGGAGUGUACAUGGCCCUAGAAAUCAGUUGGUUCAUUGAUAGUGCUAAAGCUCCGACAGAUGUGUGGCUGAGAAAGAACAAACACACAAGUGUAGAAUCAGCACAAAAGCUUGAAGUAAAACACUAAAGAGCAAAUAAAUUACGGUAUGUUGAGCUCGCUUAGCAAUUUUGCAUUUUGCCAAUAAUUUGGAAUAGGUUGAGACUGUUACAUAAUUCUACAGUACCGGGCCUUCUCUGAAACACACUGGAAUGAACUUGAGGCUAUUUGAGCGAUGUACAGAAAAACAGGUAGUGCAAAAGAUUACUGGAACACAUAGAAACUACUUCUCAAAAUGUUUCAUCAGCCAUUAGAAAAUAGUUUUGUUUUUGUAAAUAUGUAUAGCAUUAUUUUGUAUACUAUUCCAACAUUUAAAAUAAAUAUUUACAGUUGAGUUUUAUAAUUCUCUGGGAUCUGUGACAUACAAAAUAAAAACUAAAAAAACCUAAAUACCAUUAUACUUUAUAACAUGUAAUAAAUAUUUGUCAAUUCCACACA